rnacentral:rRNA from 1 species
ACGGGGGGGGCAAGCGUUGUUCGGAAUUACUGGGCGUAAAGGGCGCGUAGGCGGCCUGUUAAGUCGAACGUGAAAUCCCCGGGCUCAACCCGGGAACUGCGUCCGAUACUGGCAGGCUCGAAUUCGGGAGAGGGAUGUGGAAUUCCAGGUGUAGCGGUGAAAUGCGUAGAUAUCUGGAGGAACACCGGUGGCGAAGGCGGCAUCCUGGACCGAUAUUGACGCUGAUGCGCGAAAGCGUGGGGAGCAAACAGGA